UAAAGUCGUGUAAUAAAACCCACCCACAGCUCAGUUGAAAGUUGAAACGGGAAACAUGGGUAACUGUAGCGGCUUACCCUCUGACCAAUCUGGCCAGUCCACGUCAUCAUCAUCACAACCAACACCGUCGCCGUCCAAGGGCAUCACCGUCCUCCCCCCCGACCAACCUCCCCCUCCCCGCCCACUCUCGGGCAUCGGCCGUGUCCUUAACCGCCCCAUGGAAGACAUCAGCUCCACCUACAUUUUCGGCCGGGAGCUAGGCCGGGGACAGUUUGGGGUCACCUAUCUCGUCACUCACAAGACCACCGGCGAACAGUUCGCGUGUAAGUCAAUUGCCAAGAGGAAGCUGUUGAACAAGGACGACGUUGACGACGUCCGCCGCGAGGUUCAGAUCAUGCAUCAUCUCACCGGUCACCGGAAUAUAGUCGAGCUCAAAGGCGCGUUCGAGGAUCGGCAUAAUGUUAACCUAAUCAUGGAAUUGUGCGCCGGUGGCGAGCUGUUUGAUAGGAUUAUUACCAAAGGGCAUUAUUCGGAGCGUGCUGCGGCGGCGCUGUGCCGGCAGAUGGUAACGGUGGUGCAUUAUUGUCACUCUAUGGGAGUUAUGCAUAGAGACUUGAAGCCUGAGAAUUUUUUAUUUUUGAGCUCUGAUGAGGACUCGCCGUUGAAGGCUACUGAUUUCGGCUUGUCAGUCUUCUACAAGCCAGGAGAUGCAUUCAAAGACCUUGUGGGAAGUGCAUACUAUGUGGCCCCAGAGGUCUUGCGGAGAAAUUAUGGAGCUGAAGCUGAUAUUUGGAGUGCUGGAGUGAUACUUUAUAUUCUACUAAGUGGUGUCCCACCUUUUUGGGGAGAAAAUGAGCAGGGUAUUUUUGAUGCCAUUCUGCGGGGUCAUCUUGAUUUUUCAUCAGAACCUUGGCCAUCAAUAUCUAGUAGUGCGAAGGACCUUGUCAAAAAGAUGCUGAGAGCAGAUCCUAAAGAAAGGCUUUCUGCAGUUCAAGUUUUAAACCAUCCAUGGAUGAGAGAAGACGGUGACGCAUCUGAUAAGCCUCUCGACAUUGCUGUUUUGACUAGGAUGAAGCAGUUCCGUGCUAUGAACAAGCUCAAGAAAGUAGCCCUCAAGGUAAUUGCAGAAAAUCUAUCAGAAGAAGAAAUUAUUGGUUUGAAGGAGAUGUUCAAAUCCAUGGAUACAGAUAAUAGUGGGACAAUUACUUUUGAAGAGUUGAAGGCUGGCCUUCCAAAGCUUGGCACCAAGCUUUCUGAGUCCGAAGUGAGGCAGCUCAUGGAAGCAGUGCAUGGAUUGAAAUGCCAACACAUCAAUAUGUAUCUCUUUAAAGAUAGGCUGAUGUGGAUGGAAAUGGAACAAUUGAUUACAUUGAGUUCAUAACUGCCACGAUGCACAUGAACCGAGUAGAAAGAGAAGACCACCUGUACAGAGCCUUUGAAUAUUUUGACAAAGAUAAGAGCGGGUACAUCACGAUGGAAGAAUUGGAGCAUGCCCUAAAAGAGUAUAAUAUGGGUGAUGAGAAAACAAUAAAGGAGAUCAUUGCAGAGGUUGACACAGAUCAUGAUGGAAGAAUUAACUAUGAUGAGUUCGUUGCCAUGAUGAGGAAAGGCCAGCCAGAGAUGCCCCAAAAUAGACGUCGGAAAUAAGCCUAAAGAAGGAUUUUUCAUGCCUUUCCAUUCCUUUAAGAGGUUGGGCUCAACGGUUAAUGAUGUAAAUGAUUAAGACCUCGUGUUGCGAAAUAUGUUGCUCCUGAUUUUUCUUAGUACGUGGAUGUGGGAAGAACUUGAUUUCCAGGAUUGGAUGGCCUGUAGGCUGUUGCAUGUCAACUGAGGCAUUGAGCUUUGCCAUCACGUGCUGUGCAUAUUUUUGAUUGUUGAGGUGGCUAGCAGACUCAUCAGGCCAAGUACUAGAGAUAUACAACAGGAUACGGAUAUCGAUGAUAUCGUGCAUGUUUUUGGAUUAUGGUCGACCAGAGAACAAUUUUUGGGGUCAGUCUGAUCUGAGCUCUUUUUCCUGAAGUCUGUGUGGCAACAAGCUACACAAUCUUUUCUUUUGGUAUACGAUCCAAUUGGUGUUUGAACUACAAACUAUCUCCUGUUGCUUGCAUCUUCCUCCUUCCUUUUAGCAGCCAAUUGGAAACUGGCGUGCUCUUGACGGCGGUCUAAACCCAGAAACCGUUUAAAAAAAAAAAGAACAAAUGUUCCGGCUGCCACAAUUGUAACUCUUAAUUUACCAAAAAACGUAGAUAAAUGGACGCCUUGAGACAAA